AGCGCCACCGGGUCCACGGCGCGCGACGUCAGCAGGUAGUCCCGCAUGACGAUGCCGUGCCGGCCCUC
rnacentral:sRNA from 1 species